UUUUAGAAAUUAAUUUAAAGUCUAACCUGCCCACUGAAUAAUUUUAAAUGGCCGCAGUAUCCUAACUGUGCAAAGGUAGCAUAAUCAUUAGUCUUUUAAUUGAAKGCUGGAAUGAAUGGUUGGAUGAAAUAUUAACUGUUUCAUAAAAAUUUAUAAUAGAAUUUUAUUUUUUAGUCAAAAAGCUAAAAUAAAAUUAAAAGACGAGAAGACCCUAUAAAUCUUUAUAUUUAAAUAAUUUUAAUUAUAAAGAUAAAUUAAAUUAUAAUUAUUGUAAAUAUUUUAUUGGGGUGAUAUUAAAAUUUAAUAAACUUUUAAUUAAUAAUAUACAUUAAUUAAUGAAUUAUUGAUCCAUUUAUUAUGAUUAAAAAAUUAAGUUACUUUAGGGAUAACAGCGUAAUUUUUUUAGAGAGUUCAUAUUGAUAAAAA
rnacentral:rRNA from 1 species